UACGUAGGGUGCGAGCGUUUGUCCGGAAUUAUUGGGCGUAAAGGGCUCGUAGGCGGUUUGUCGCGUCGGGGAGUGAAAACUCAGGGCUUAACCCUGAGCCUGCUUCCGAUACGGGCAGACUAGAGGUAUGCAGGGGAGAACGGAAUUCCUGGUGUAGCGGUGAAAUGCGCAGAUAUCAGGAGGAACACCGGUGGCGAAGGCGGUUCUCUGGGCAUGACCUGACGCUGAGGAGCGAAAGUGUGGGGAGCGAACAGG
rnacentral:rRNA from 1 species